ACCUCUGGUGAAAAUAGCCCCUCUGCAGAGAAGCUGAGGCGACCGAGUGUACAAACGGCUUAGUCUGAUGUCGAAUCGCACAUAAUUGACUGUCUUAUAAUGAGAGUCUGAAGAGGCUUUGCCCCAAGUGAGAACCUUGAAGCCCUAACUAAAAAAGCCAGUUAUGGCUUCCUGUGACGUCAUGACCGAGGCAAAUUCAGAAGCUCCCGGAGGAGAACUUUAAAAAAACUGGCCAAAAUUGAAUUACACUUUUGUUUCCCAUCUAAACUACUCACAAUAAUUAUCCGUAAUGACUAGUGUUCGAAGAGAGAACGAAAAGAAGAAGAACAAAACUCCAAAACCCUACAAAGACCAACAAAGUCAAAGUGACUCAGGCAAGGACGAGAACAUGGCGGCUGUGCUAGCCGAGUUGCGCACAUUCAGGAAGGAACAUUCUGAAGCCUCUGCAGACACCAAAAACUCGUUAGCAAGAGUAGAAACUGCGCUCAGUGAGGUAGCUGAAAGGACGACACAACUUGAACAACGAGUGACAGAGUACGAGCAGAGGCUAGGGGCUGCCGAAGAUAAGACACAAAGACAUGAAAGAGCCCUUCGCUAUCUGCUACAACGAGAUGCCAGCCUAACGGCAAAAUGUGUGGAUCUAGAGUCCAGAGCUAGACGCAACAAUCUCCGUGUAUACGGAGUAACAGAAGAUAACGAAAACAAUGAUAUGCUGAGCUACAUAAGCAAUCUCAUCCGAACAUCACUGACAUUACCAGAAGACCUGAAUUUAAAUAUAGUGAGAGCACACCGAUCUCUGACCAUGAAACCGACAGACCCAGGGAGCCCUCCGAGGUCGAUCAUCGUCAGAUUCCUCGACUUCAGAACUAAGGAAUUGGUAAUUCAAGAAGCAUGGAAACACCGGGGAGGAGUGAUAUAUAAAGGGCAGAAGAUCUUCUUUGACCAAGACUACACGUCUGACAUCCAGAAGAAACGCAAGCAAGUUAGGGAGGUGAUAAAGCAACUUAAAGAAAAGAACAUAAAAGCUCAAUCGCCGUUCCCUGCCAAGCUGAAAAUUCACCUGAAGACGGGAGCUAAGACCUUCAUGACACUGUCGGAUGCGGCACCAACACUUCACGCGAUCGGUAUCCAUGUGCAUCUUGAAGAAUGUGAGACGCUCAGGGCGGAACUUUUACGGAAUAGCUGGACUGAGACUUCAACAUCAAACAGAGCGAAUGUGAUGUCCAAUGCAGAUCUGAAAAGCUUCCUUCACGGCGAUAACGAAGGAACAAGUAAAAACACUGGGCUGUGAGUAGACUUUGAGGGAAAUGAGGAUUCAGUUUAUUGGUAAGAUUAAUAUUUUCUGGCUAGUUUUAUCAUAGAAAGUUUAUUAAUAUUAUGUAAAAAAAAAAAACAGGUUCUCCUCAACCGAGGAGCUUUUCUUUACGCUCCA
rnacentral:lncRNA from 1 species